GCUGCGAUGGCCGAGUGGUUAAGGCGUUGGACUUGAAAUCCAAUGGGGUUAACCCGCGCAGGUUCGAAUCCUGUUCGCAGCG
rnacentral:tRNA from 1 species